AUACUUACUUGGCAGGAGAGAUACCAUGAUCACGAAGGUGGUUUUCCCAGUUUGAGGCUUAUCCAUUGCACUCCGAAUGUGCUGACCCUCUGCGAUUUCCCCAAAUGUGGGAAACUCGACUGCAUAAUUUGUGGUAGUGGGGGACUGCGUUCGCGCUUUCCCCUG
ensembl:snRNA U1 U1 spliceosomal RNA